AGUUGACAGUGUGGCAGUUGUCAACUCAAAAUUCUAAAAUUCGUACAUUCAAUUUUCAAACAAAUUUUUAAUUCAUAACUUUGCUUUCAUAAACCCAUUAAAAAAAUGGAAAAUAAAGAUUUGGAUUGUGCAAAAAAGCAUCGUCGUCCAUGGGAAAAGUCUGCGAAAAAAUGGACUGAAAAAGAAAUUUGUCUAGUAUUGGAUUACAUACAAGAACCUGGAAAUUUCGAGAAGCCUACAGCUCAAAUAUUUUAUAGAAAACUUUUAGAAGAGCAGCUACUAGAUGACUCUUGGGAUUUGAUCCGUUGGAAAGUGAGAAGUUUGAACACUUCAUUUACCAAGGCUAAACGGAGUGGUCAAAAAUAACUGGUGCUGGUCUCUUGGAAGCAAAAAACGGACUUGGAACUGUUCAAGCGAAAAUUCUUAAAAUAUGUCCAUUCUAUGAUAGAUUGAAAGAAAGUUUUGGUGACAAGACUGAAGGUCGUAGUUCAUUUGCUUACAGAAAUCAUAAUAUAGGAGGAAGAGGAACUCCGCUAUGAGGUUAUUGAACUUAACGUUCAACAAAGUUCAAAUGAUAUUAAUAUCCUCCAAGUCCAUAUAGGCUUUCUACAGAACCACAACCACCAACCAACUUCGGUAUACACCAACGGCACAACAAAACUAUACGUCUGAUACAGGGCGAUUGAGUGAACCUGAAAUUGACUCGAAAAACAUCGGAAACUUUCACAUUUUUUUUGGCAUCUUUUUGGAAAUAAAUAAAACAA